rnacentral:misc_RNA from 1 species
GAUGAAGAACGUAGCGAAAUGCGAUAAGUAGUGUGAAUUGCAGAAUUCAGUGAAUCAUCGAAUCUUUGAACGCACAUUGCGCCCCCUGGUAUUCCGGGGGGCAUGCCUGUCCGAGCGUCAUUACAACCCUCAAGCUCAGCUUGGUGUUGGGCCCCGCCGCCCCGGCGGGCCCUAAAGUCAGUGGCGGUGCCGUCCGGCUCCGAGCGUAGUAAUUCUUCUCGCUCUGGAGGUCCGGUCGUGUGCUCGCCAGCAACCCCCAAUUUUUUUCAGGUUGACCUCGGAUCAGGUAGGGAUACCCGCUGAACUUAAGCAUAUCAAUAGCGGAGGA